rnacentral:rRNA from 1 species
AGAGUUUGAUCAUGGCUCAGAUUGAACGCUGGCGGCAGGCCUAACACAUGCAAGUCGAACGGUAACAGGAAACAGCUUGCUGUUUCGCUGACGAGUGGCGGACGGGUGAGUAAUGUCUGGGAAACUGCCUGAUGGAGGGGGAUAACUACUGGAAACGGUAGCUAAUACCGCAUAACGUCGCAAGACCAAAGAGGGGGACCUUCGGGCCUCUUGCCAUCAGAUGUGCCCAGAUGGGAUUAGCUAGUAGGUGGGGUAACGGCUCACCUAGGCGACGAUCCCUAGCUGGUCUGAGAGGAUGACCAGCCACACUGGAACUGAGACACGGUCCAGACUCCUACGGGAGGCAGCAGUGGGGAAUAUUGCACAAUGGGCGCAAGCCUGAUGCAGCCAUGCCGCGUGUAUGAAGAAGGCCUUCGGGUUGUAAAGUACUUUCAGCGGGGAGGAAGGGAGUAAAGUUAAUACCUUUGCUCAUUGACGUUACCCGCAGAAGAAGCACCGGCUAACUCCGUGCCAGCAGCCGCGGUAAUACGGAGGGUGCAAGCGUUAAUCGGAAUUACUGGGCGUAAAGCGCACGCAGGCGGUUUGUUAAGUCAGAUGUGAAAUCCCCGGGCUCAACCUGGGAACUGCAUCUGAUACUGGCAAGCUUGAGUCUCGUAGAGGGGGGUAGAAUUCCAGGUGUAGCGGUGAAAUGCGUAGAGAUCUGGAGGAAUACCGGUGGCGAAGGCGGCCCCCUGGACGAAGACUGACGCUCAGGUGCGAAAGCGUGGGGAGCAAACAGGAUUAGAUACCCUGGUAGUCCACGCCGUAAACGAUGUCGACUUGGAGGUUGUGCCCUUGAGGCGUGGCUUCCGGAGCUAACGCGUUAAGUCGACCGCCUGGGGAGUACGGCCGCAAGGUUAAAACUCAAAUGAAUUGACGGGGGCCCGCACAAGCGGUGGAGCAUGUGGUUUAAUUCGAUGCAACGCGAAGAACCUUACCUGGUCUUGACAUCCACGGAAGUUUUCAGAGAUGAGAAUGUGCCUUCGGGAACCGUGAGACAGGUGCUGCAUGGCUGUCGUCAGCUCGUGUUGUGAAAUGUUGGGUUAAGUCCCGCAACGAGCGCAACCCUUAUCCUUUGUUGCCGGCGGUCCGGCCGGGAACUCAAAGGAGACUGCCAGUGAUAAACUGGAGGAAGGUGGGGAUGACGUCAAGUCAUCAUGGCCCUUACGACCAGGGCUACACACGUGCUACAGUGGCGCAUACAAAGAGAAGCGACCUCGCGAGAGCAAGCGGACCUCAUAAAGUGCGUCGUAGUCCGGAUUGGAGUCUGCAACUCGACUCCAUGAAGUCGGAAUCGCUAGUAAUCGUGGAUCAGAAUGCCACGGUGAAUACGUUCCCGGGCCUUGUACACACCGCCCGUCACACCAUGGGAGUGGGUUGCAAAAGAAGUAGGUAGCUUAACCUUCGGGAGGGCGCUUACCACUUUGUGAUUCAUGACUGGGGUGAAGUCGUAACAAGGUAACCGUAGGGGAACCUGCGGUUG